rnacentral:tRNA from 1 species
AGUCCCAAAAUGACAGCUCACCCAUUGGUCUUAAAGACCAAAAACUCUUGGUGCAAAUCCAAGUAGUAACC